AAAAAUAGUCUAUUUGUUGUUCCCUGAACUUGACAUUCCAUCUCUUGCUUCUUUGUUUUUGUACAGGCAAUCCUGCAUACUUGGAACAUACUUCUUUUCACCUCCACUUCUUAGAAUACUCCUCUUCUUUCCUUCCUGGGAGGAGGGACAUGGUGGCAAAAUCAGGAGAAUGAAGGACAGCUGGUGUUGGCCCUUCCACAAAAUGGAGGUUCCAGGAAGAAAUCACCAAAAGAAGAAGGAACUCACCAAAAACUCACCCAGGAGGGAUGGGGAAAAGCCACUGAAGCAUGGUGGCAAAAUUCAGAGUGAAAGAAGAGAGUGAAAACUCUGCAAGAAAACCAUCUACAAUAAGUCAGCUUCAUGUAGAUGGAACAGAACUGAACAUACAGCUACUCAUAUUCUUGGAGCAUUCAAAGAACAUCUCCACUGCUACUAUCUCCACAGAACCCAUUCUAGCGGCAUUGAACUCUUGAAUAUCUUGGACCUUCAUUUCACAGACUCCCUGGGCUUUUCCCUUCUUAUCACCAUUCAUAUGUACUCCCUGUACUGGUAUCUAUAGAUCACCUGCUGAAAAACUAAGGCUUGGAUUUGGCAGGCUCUCCUGUCCUAUGCCUGCCUCAUUGCUUAUUACCUUUGUUUGCCAUGCCUGACAUGAUAAACCAAUUCACUGGCCAAGAUUAUGACUCAGCAUCUUUGAAAUUCCACCCUACCCACUAGUUUGUAGCAGUGGCCAGGCCAGAAUGAUUGGUGACAUUUUCAGUGCUUCCAAACUUCAUUUCUCCCCUUUUGUAGUCCUUUUCCCACAAGAUGGAGGGAAUAAUGCCUUCCUUUCCUCAGGUAGGGCACCUUUCAAAGAUAUAGCACUGUGCCCCCAAAUAGUAGCCCCUGGGUUCUUACCAAAGACAGCCCCCUGCUGAAUGGUACCAAUAUAUCCAAAAGUUACUGUAUUUUGCCUUAAACUCAUUCUCUUACCCCUGAAAAUUUUCCUAUUUCUCUUGAGAGCACUAUCAUUUUAAUAACUCAGGAAUACAACCUUGGAAUUAGAUUUAAUUCUUCCUUCUCCCUCAACCCUUAUAUCUAAAUGGUUUCUAAG
rnacentral:lncRNA from 1 species